UGGGGAAUAUUGCACAAUGGGCGCAAGCCUGAUGCAGCCAUGCCGCGUGUGUGAAGAAGGUCUUCGGGUUGUAAAGCACUUUCAGCGGGGAGGAAGGCGAUAAGGUUAAUAACCUUGUCGAUUGACGUUACCCGCAGAAGAAGCACCGGCUAACUCCGUGCCAGCAGCCGCGGUAAUACGGAGGGUGCAAGCGUUAAUCGGAAUUACUGGGCGUAAAGCGCACGCAGGCGGUUGAUUGAGUCAGAUGUGAAAUCCCCGGGCUUAACCCGGGAAUUGCAUCUGAUACUGGUCAGCUAGAGUCUUGUAGAGGGGGGUAGAAUUCCAUGUGUAGCGGUGAAAUGCGUAGAGAUGUGGAGGAAUACCGGUGGCGAAGGCGGCCCCCUGGACAAAGACUGACGCUCAGGUGCGAAAGCGUGGGGAGCAAACAGG
rnacentral:rRNA from 1 species